AGUGAACGCUGGCGGUAGGCCUAACACAUGCAAGUCGUACGGCAGCACAGUAAGAGCUUGCUCUUACGGGUGGCGAGUGGCGGACGGGUGAGGAAUACAUCGGAAUCUACUUUUUCGUGGGGGAUAACGUAGGGAAACUUACGCUAAUACCGCAUACGACCUACGGGUGAAAGCAGGGGAUCUUCGGACCUUGCGCGAUUGAAUGAGCCGAUGUCGGAUUAGCUAGUUGGCGGGGUAAAGGCCCACCAAGGCGACGAUCCGUAGCUGGUCUGAGAGGAUGAUCAGCCACACUGGAACUGAGACACGGUCCAGACUCCUACGGGAGGCAGCAGUGGGGAAUACUGGACAAUGGGCGCAAGCCUGAUCCAGCCAUACCGCGUGGGUGAAGAAGGCCUUCGGGUUGUAAAGCCCUUUUGUUGGGAAAGAAGAGCAGCAGGUUAAUACCCCGCUGUUCUGACGGUACCCAAAGAAUAAGCACCGGCUAACUUCGU
rnacentral:rRNA from 1 species